GAUUGUAAAUAGCUCCUUCCCUCCUACCCACAGCGCUGCUGGAGUGACCUCUCACCCGGAAGGGAGGGGCGGGGCAGCUCUGAACUUUACUCUCCAAGCCAAAAUAUCUGUUCAGUUGUUUGAUGUUGCUGUUGUUUUUCACCCUGGGGAGGAUGGGAAGAGGAGGGAUGUGUGCGAUCUCUACCUGUGUUGGGGGCAUUAACCUGUGACAGCCUCUGGGAAUGCCAGCGUGUCAGAUGGGAGCCCUCUUUGUGCCCGUGCUGGAGGCGGCCAGUAUGAGACAAAACAAGGGUGAAGAAGACCCUGCCCAGGGUUCUCAAAUCCCCUGAAAUCCAUAGACCCAGUCAAGAACCUCAACUACAGAAUGGAAGUGGAAGAAAAGGUGGAAACCAUAAUUGAUGGAGCCUUUAACUCCUUACGUCAUUUAAUCCCUACACCAACCCUGACAGAGUGAUACCACAACCAGUUUUUCUGGUGGGACACCUGAGAAUCAGAGAGGUUGAGUGAUUUGCCCAAAGUCAACCAGGCCCUGCCGGGAGGCCCCUGUUACUCUUUCCAUGCAGCGUUGCCUUUGUAAAGAAGAUGAGCCCCAGAACAAGGUCUGAACACCUUGUUUUGACUCUUUGGCCCCAGAAUUCCCUUUCCUACCCAGGCCCUGUGACCUGUGGGGUUUAACCAGUGUAACAGAAGGGUGAUGGCCCCUUGAAAUCACACACACUCAGUUAUUUUUA